rnacentral:rRNA from 1 species
UACGGGAGGCAGCAGUGGGGAAUAUUGCACAAUGGGCGCAAGCCUGAUGCAGCCAUGCCGCGUGUAUGAAGAAGGCCUUCGGGUUGUAAAGUACUUUCAGUCGUGAGGAAGGUGUUAAGGUUAAUAACCUUAGCAAUUGACGUUAGCGAUAGAAGAAGCACCGGCUAACUCCGUGCCAGCAGCCGCGGUAAUACGGAGGGUGCGAGCGUUAAUCGGAAUUACUGGGCGUAAAGGGCACGCAGGCGGUUAAUUAAGUUGGAUGUGAAAUCCCCGGGCUUAACCUGGGAAUGGCAUUCAAGACUGGUUAGCUAGAGUCUUGUAGAGGGGGUAGAAUUCCAUGUGUAGCGGUGAAAUGCGUAGAGAUGUGGAGGAAUACCGGUGGCGAAGGCGGCCCCUGGGACAAAGACUGACGCUCAUGUGCGAAAGCGUGGGGAGCAAACAGGAUUAGAUACC